UACGUAGGGUGCAAGCGUUGUCCGGAAUUAUUGGGCGUAAAGAGCUUGUAGGCGGUUUGUCGCGUCUGCUGUGAAAUUUCGGGGCUCAACCCCGAACUUGCAGUGGGUACGGGCAGACUAGAGUGUGGUAGGGGAGACUGGAAUUCCUGGUGUAGCGGUGAAAUGCGCAGAUAUCAGGAGGAACACCAGUGGCGAAGGCGCCGCUCUGGGCCGAGACUGACGCUGAGGAGCGAAAGCAUGGGGAGCGAACAGG
rnacentral:rRNA from 1 species